CCCAGACAGCCAGGAUGUUGGCUUAGAAGCAGCCAUCAUUUAAAGAAAGCGUAAUAGCUCACUGGUCGAGUCGGCCUGCGCGGAAGAUGUAACGGGGCUAAACCAUGCACCGAAGCUGCGGCAGCGACGCUGAUGCGUUGUUGGGUAGGGGAGCGUUCUGUAAGCCUGUGAAGGUGGCCUGUGAGGGUUGCUGGAGGUAUCAGAAGUGCGAAUGCUGACAUAAGUAACGAUAAAGCGGGUGAAAAGCCCGCUCGCCGGAAGACCAAGGGUUCCUGUCCAACGUUAAUCGGGGCAGGGUGAGUCGACCCCUAAGGCGAGGCCGAAAGGCGUAGUCGAUGGGAAACGGGUUAAUAUUCCCGUA
rnacentral:rRNA from 1 species